rnacentral:rRNA from 1 species
ACGCUCGACACCUACUGGAGGCAGCAGUCGGGAAUAUUGCGCAAUGGAGGAAACUCUGACGCAGUGACGCCGCGUAUAGGAAGAAGGUUUUCGGAUUGUAAACUAUUGUCGUUAGGGAAGAAAAAGACAGUACCUAAGGAGGAAGCUCCGGCUAACUACGUGCCAGUAGCCGCGGUAAUCUGAGCGGGCUGGCAAGGC